GACCAGGCCGCUUGUUUAUCAAAAACAUGUCUUUUUGAAAAUAAUAUAAAGUCUGACCUGCCCACUGAAAGUUUUGAAGGGCCGCGGUAUAUUGACUGUGCAAAGGUAGCAUAAUCAUUUGUCUCUUAAUUGGAGGCUAGAAUGAAUGGUUGAAUGAGGUAUUAACUGUCUCAUUUUAAUAAAUUUAAAAAUUUAAUUUUUUAGUCAAAAAGCUAAAAUUUUAUUGGAGGACGAGAAGACCCUAUAAAUCUUUAUUUAAUUAGAAUAUUUUAAUAGUAGAAAAUAAUAAUUAAAUUAAUUUAAUUAAAUUUUAUUGGGGUGAUAGGAAAAUUAAAUAAACUUUUUUUAAUUUAAACAUUGAUUUAUGAUAAUUUGAUCCAUUAUGAGUGAUUAAAAGUUUAAGAUACUUUAGGGAUAACAGCGUAAUUUUUUUAGAGAGUUCAUAUCGAUAAAAAAGAUUGCGACCUCGAUGUUGAAUUAAAGAUAAAUUUUAAAUGCAGAAGUUUAAAAAUUAGGUCUGUUCGACCUUUGAAUCCUUACAUGAUCUGAGUUCAAACCGG
rnacentral:rRNA from 1 species